CAAAGGAUGUGCUGGGAAACCCUCCCUACCCCAGGAAGGGCCAUCACUGCCCUUCCCACUGCCUUACCUGAGAAAUUCAGUGUCUCCUUUGCAUUGCAGCACUCCAGGAGACUGCACCUGAGCCAGGAGUGAGGGGAGAAGAGCUGCCAAGUGAUGGCUGCACCUCCCACAAUGAGCUCCUGGGGUCAUUCUAACCUGACUGGUGCACCUUCAGCCCUUUCAGAGCCCAGCCCUGACUCCUGUCAGCCGUUCACCUGCAGGACGCAGUGCUUGGCACCAGCAGCAUUGGCACCGGGUAGGUCCUUGGGCUGCAGCCUCGUGUGCUCGAGGCUUUGUGGCACAGCUGUGUUGUGUUGCCCUCAGGACCUGCUCUUGUUCAGGCAACAGCAGGAUGUGCUCCGUGUAGGAGGAUCAGCAGCCGCCUUCCACCCCAAUUAAUGGGGCGGCUGAACACGGUCCUGGCAGCUGCAGUGCCGCGGGCCAGGAGGUGCCGCCCUGCCAUGGACGCGUCCGACAGCACGAGGCCCCUCAACGUGAGGCACCCCAGCAGCACCAAGUCUGCCCUCUGAGCUGCUCUGCCCCUCAUCCCCAUCCAUGUGGGUGCUGUGCCCGCCCCUCUGCAGGGCUGUACAUGCAGCGCAUCCGAUGCACGUUCUGGGGCUGCUCCUGGGCUCACAUCUGAACAAUACAUAGUUCUCCAUCUCUCUGUUUGCUGCUGGAACAAACAGGAGGAGUCCUGGCUUGUUGGCAGGUGCUCUUGUGUAUUCCUGCUGCUCAGCAAGGUGUGCUGAUCCCUGGGGAGGUGCAGAGGCAGAUACAGAGAGAAGGCUGUUGGUGUCUGCUCUGCUCCAGGGGGUGCCAUCGCUGUCCCAUUGCUGGGACAGCUGUCCUUGUGCAGCAGGACCCGAGCCUGCUCCUGAGCUGCAGCAUUCCUGCUGUUUGCUCUGGUUCCUCUUGGAGCAAAACGUGCUCAUUUGGCAGUUAAAAAGCACUGCAGAACAAAGCCAGUCCUACAGGUAGCAAUGUUUUGAUGGAUUCUUUUGCGAGGAGCAAACCAUCCUAUUCUGCUCAUGGGCUUAUUUUGUGGCUG
rnacentral:lncRNA from 1 species